rnacentral:rRNA from 1 species
UGCGUAGGUGGCGGGGUAAGUCAGGUGUGAAAUCUCGGAGCUCAACUCCGAAACUGCACUUGAUACUGCCUUGCUUGAGUACUGGAGAGGAGAUUGGAAUUUACGGUGUAGCAGUGAAAUGCGUAGAUAUCGUAAGGAAGACCAGUGGCGAAGGCGAAUCUCUGGACAGUUACUGACACUGAGGCACGAAGGCCGAGGGAACAAACG